rnacentral:rRNA from 1 species
GACGAACGCUGGCGGCGUGCCUAAUACAUGCAAGUCGAACGCAUUUUCUUUCACCGUAGCUUGCUACACCGAAAGAAAAUGAGUGGCGAACGGGUGAGUAACACGUGGGUAAACUGCCCAUCAGCGGGGGAUAACACUUGGAAACAGGUGCUAAUACCGCAUAAUUCCAUUUACCGCAUGGUAAAUGGAUGAAAGGCGCUUUUGCGUCACUGAUGGAUGGACCCGCGGUGCAUUAGCUAGUUGGUGGGGUAACGGCCUACCAAGGCUGCGAUGCAUAGCCGACCUGAGAGGGUGAUCGGCCACACUGGGACUGAGACACGGCCCAGACUCCUACGGGAGGCAGCAGUAGGGAAUCUUCGGCAAUGGACGCAAGUCUGACCGAGCAACGCCGCGUGAGUGAAGAAGGUUUUCGGAUUGUAAAACUCUGUUGUUAGAGAAGAACAAGGAUGAGAGUGGAAAGUUCAUCCCUUGACGGUAUCUAACCAGAAAGCCACGGCUAACUACGUG